rnacentral:lncRNA from 1 species
GGGUGUGAGAUUGUGUUAUAGAAUCUUUUGAAAUAAAACAUAAGUCUCUCGAAAUCUUUUAUUGCGGAACUUUUAUGGUAAUGAAUAUUUAUACUUGUAUACAUCCUUGCACCUUUGCAUAAGCUUAAAAGUCUUACCUCACUUUUGCAUUUGACUUUGUCCUAAUCUGGGUUGCAUGUAUUAGUUCAUAGUUAGGUGAAUAUCACUG